rnacentral:rRNA from 1 species
GAUGAAGGCCUUCGGGUUGUAAACCUCUUUCAGCAGGGAAGAAGCGCAAGUGACGGUACCUGCAGAAGAAGCGCCGGCUAACUACGUGCCAGCAGCCGCGGUAAUACGUAGGGCGCAAGCGUUGUCCGGAAUUAUUGGGCGUAAAGAGCUCGUAGGCGGUUUGUCGCGUCUGCUGUGAAAACUCGAGGCUCAACUUCGGGCUUGCAGUGGGUACGGGCAGACUAGAGUGCGGUAGGGGAGACUGGAAUUCCUGGUGUAGCGGUGGAAUGCGCAGAUAUCAGGAGGAACACCGAUGGCGAAGGCAGGUCUCUGGGCCGCAACUGACGCUGAGGAGCGAAAGCAUGGGGAGCGAACAGGAUUAGAUACCCUGGUAGUCCAUGCCGUAAACGUUGGGCACUAGGUGUGGGGCUCAUUCCACGAGUUCCGUGCCGCAGCAAACGCAUUAAGUGCCCCGCCUGGGGAGUACGGCCGCAAGGCUAAAACUCAAAGAAAUUGACGGGGGCCCGCACAAGCGGCGGAGCAUGCGGAUUAAUUCGAUGCAACGCGAAGAACCUUACCAAGGCUUGACAUACACCGGAAACUUCCAGAGAUGGUUGCCCCGCAAGGUCGGUGUACAGGUGGUGCAUGGUUGUCGUCAGCUCGUGUCGUGAGAUGUUGGGUUAAGUCCCGCAACGAGCGCAACCCUCGUCCUAUGUUGCCAGCGGGUCAUGCCGGGGACUCAUAGGAGACUGCCGGGGUCAACUCGGAGGAAGGUGGGGAUGACGUCAAAUCAUCAUGCCCCUUAUGUCUUGGGCUUCACGCAUGCUACAAUGGCCGGUACAAAGGGCUGCGAUACCGCGAGGUGGAGCGAAUCCCAAAAAGCCGGUCUCAGUUCGGAUUGGGGUCUGCAACUCGACCCCAUGAAGUCGGAGUCGCUAGUAAUCGCAGAUCAGCAACGCUGCGGUGAAUACGUUCCCGGGCCUUGUACACACCGCCCGUCAAGUCACGAAAGUCGG